GAUGAACGCUAGCUACAGGCUUAACACAUGCAAGUCGAGGGACCGGCGCACGGGUGAGUAACACGUAUCCAACCUGCCCUUUACUCGGGGAUAGCCUUUCGACAGAAAGAUUAAUACCCGAUCUAAAGGAUGGGGAUGCGUUCCAUUAGGUUGUUGGUGAGGUAACGGCCCACCAAGCCUUCGAUGGAUAGGGGUUCUGAGAUGAAGGUCCCCCACAGUGGAACCGCGGCCCGGUCCAAAAUCCUACGGGAGGCAGCAGUGAGGAAUAUUGUGCAAUGAGCGCUAGCCGGAACCAGCCAAGUAGCUUGAAGGAUGUAGGGGUAGUGAUCGUAAAUUGCUUGUAGAGAAGAAUCGGUAUUAUAUGAAUAAGGAUCGGCUAACUCCGUGCCAGCCGCCGCGGUAAUUC
rnacentral:rRNA from 1 species